AUGAAUAAUAUCAUACAUGAUAUCACCGAGGGUCAAUACUGUGACAAGGGUCUAACUGUGCUUCCGGUAAUUGGUCCGGGGGGGAUGGGGAAGACAACUAUGAUACAACACAUAUAUAACAACCAACAAGUGCAGAAUCAUUUCUCAGUCAGGAUUUGGAUAUGUGUGUCGUUCAAUUUCAACCUGGGUAAGGUGCUAGAACAGAUUAAAGAAGAUACCCUUACGGUUGAAGGUGAGAAUGAGUGUAGUACAACACAAGAGCUGAUUGAACACAGAUUGAAACACAAAAGAUUCUUACUUGUAUUGGAUGAUAUAUGGCAGUUUACUGAUGUGGAUGACUGGAAAAAACUAUUGUUGAUACUCGGCAAGUCACAAGAGAAGGGUUCCGUGAUUCUAGUCACAACUCGGCAAAAAGAAAUUUGUUGGUAG
rnacentral:rRNA from 1 species